UACAGAGGGUGCAAGCGUUGUUCGGAAUCAUUGGGCGUAAAGGGCGUGUAGGCGGUCUGUUAAGUCAUACGUGAAAUCCCUCAGCUUAACUGGGGAACUGCGCCUGAUACUGGUUGGCUUUGAGUUUGGGAGAGGGACGCGGAAUUCCAGGUGUAGCGGUGAAAUGCGUAGAUAUCUGGAGGAAUACCGGUGGCGAAGGCGGCGAUCC
rnacentral:rRNA from 1 species